rnacentral:rRNA from 1 species
GAUGAACGCUAGCGGCAGGCUUAACACAUGCAAGUCGAGGGGUAUUGGUUUUCGGACCAAGAGACCGGCGCACGGGUGCGUAACGCGUAUGCAAUCUACCUUUCACAGAGGGAUAGCCCAGAGAAAUUUGGAUUAAUACCUCAUAGUAUUAUGGAAUGGCAUCAUUCUAUAAUUAAAGUCACAACGGUGAAAGAUGAGCAUGCGUCCCAUUAGCUAGUUGGUAUGGUAACGGCAUACCAAGGCUACGAUGGGUAGGGGUCCUGAGAGGGAGAUCCCCCACACUGGUACUGAGACACGGACCAGACUCCUACGGGAGGCAG